AGGGGGGGGGUUAGUAUGUUACAUAUUGUGUGAGGAUCAAGAUUAGCCAACCUACUCUAUCCCCUCCCUCAAGACUCGACGGCAGCCACUUGAUUUCCAUUCGAAGCCCUCCAUUAAUCGCUCCAACACCUCUUUAGGAUACUUGAUCUCGAGAUGUUAUGUGUUUCUAGUACACCACUGGAUUGAUGGUGUCGUUAGAUGUCUUGGAUUUGGAACUUGCUGUCUGGAGUAGCUGGAGUAGUCAUGGGUCGACUGGAAGGGCUCAUGUGAUUAAAUUCCCUAUUUCUAUACUUGGGUUUUGAAAAAGUUUAACUUCAUUUUAUUAUUUGCUUCCGCUGAACAUAUCGGUUUUCAUGUAAACUUGUUGAUGGAAUUUUAUUAAUGAUUGAGAACUUAUUUAGAAAUUGUAUGGGUUCAAUGUAAGUAGUGGCUCACUGUUGGUAUGUCACAUGCCUAACGGGGGCACUCCUAGGUGGUAUUUUUGAGGGUGUGACAAUUACUACUUUCACCUGAAUUCAAAACCAACUUAACAAUUACUUUU
rnacentral:lncRNA from 1 species